GGCAGGCUGAGGCGACAGUAAGGCAGAGGAUGGGGCAACAGAAUUUUCUAAUUGUUUUAUUUCCGCGACUGCUGCUCCCUCUGCAGAAAGAAAUAUAUCAGUUUAUAUUUAAAAUACCUAAGUGUGUGAAGAAAAAUUGAUUUAAUAAGGAUGCACCUUCUCCUAGUCGUGAUCUCUUAUUAUCCAAUUUGUCGUUGCACUUAUCUUGUUUCCUUUUGUCCCUCUUCAAAUCCUCCGCGUAUAUUCUUGGGGGUGGGGGUGGGCUCGGAUUUGAAAUUUGAGGUGGAGGCGGAGCUUCUAUGUCGCUGUUCCUUGGCAUCGUCAUGUCCUCUGUUGUCUCUCCACCUUCUGAUUUCUUUGACUUUGAUCUUAGUCCUUCUUCUUCUGCUAUCAAAGAGAAGUAUAAUAAUAUCUUCUUGCUCAGCUGGAGGAGGCGUGGAACAAAUUUCCAUCUCUUCAGCUCCACCGGCGAUGCCAGUAUCCGGAUAAGUCCAUUGUGUAAUUCCAGUGGCAGUGUUCUGGUAAUAAUAUCGCUUAUGCGACCUGGAAAAAAGCCCACAAAGGGAUGUAGCACAAUGAUGAAUAAAAGUGACUUACUUGCAUGGUUUUUUUUCUUUACAUUGAUAAACAUUGGAAAGACGUUACUCCAUGAAAAGAACGUCCUCCUGAGUUCUGAAGCAACUUAUUAGCUAGAAAACAAAAAGUUAAUACUCCUACCUGCAGCUCGGUGUGCCAUUAAGUCAGCGAGGCCCUUUUAUUAUAAAAGGAUUAAGUGUUACUUAGCGGUUACAUAGAAGGCGAUGUCUUCCGUAAACUCGAACAUUGAAAAUUACGUCGACAAUAUCUGCGUUACGCUAGCGAAAUAUUAAGCGGAUUGAUUAUGCGAUGUAACUAAGGGCGCAAAGGCCUGAAGAUGACUUUCAAAGAUAUACAACGACGUGCACUCGUUGAGGAACCAAGGGAAGCGCCUUUUAAUUGUUACAUUUCAACAAAUUGUUUAAACAUGUAGAAGAUACAACUUUUCAUGAAAUGUAUUUUUCUUUUAACAAAUGACAUAUAUACGUGACAUUAAAAACAUGUACAUAAAAUGUAGUGUAGAGAAACGAAAACUUCGUACGAUAUAUAUGUAAUGAUCGUCUAGAAGUAUUGUUACUUUGAUGCUUUGACUAAUAACUUUGUGUACAACUUGUUUCAAUGACUUGAUAAAUCUUUUCAAUGAUGCCUAGCUUCUUUAGGUUCCUAGUUCCUUCAUAUGAUUUCGUCCAAGAAGAACUUGAGUUAAUUUGGUAUAAGCUUCUUUUGAUAUAUAAUGGUUUCUUCCAGCUACGACCAUCCCCUUUUAUCACUUAUCCCUUCAGGUUACCAAGUCUGUUUAACACUCACAUGAUUUAAGAUCUCUUUCAAAUACUUCUCAGGUUUCAUGACUGCAUCUCUAAUGAAUGGUUUUAUCCAUUUGGUACAAUCUCUGUCUCUGCACUUUGUUGAGGUGAGCUUUUGACUCUAGUUAUUUCAGAAGUUUAGUUCUUGAAGUGUUCAAAUAUAUUGGAUAAUAUAAUCUUCAUGCUUUAAGUCACUAAACAAUGCUCCUAAUGUUUGUUAAUUCUUCCACAUAUAUUCUUCGUUCAUAAUUUUAGAUAAUGCACAUUUGGUCUUUGAGGCUCCACUCUGAACACAAACCUAUCUUUUUA
rnacentral:misc_RNA from 1 species